CGCACACCGCAAAAAAAAAAAAAAAGUGCCAAAGCGUUUCUCAUCUCAAGAGAGCUUGUCUCCUGAGCCUACCUCCCUGCCUAGCCGUUCCCUCUAGCCUUUAUUGCCAGACUUCGAGAAGGACCACACUCCUGCCUCCCACUUUGCCUCCAGUAGUGUGGCUUCUGUCCCCACCUCAGCACUGAGUUCGUUAAGGGUGCCAGUGACCAAAGGCUGCAAAUCCAGUGGUUGGUCCUCCCCUAGUUUAUGGCUUCCCUGCAGCACCUGACAUUCCUCCUGCCCACCUGCAACGUCCUUUUCUCCCACGGUUAGGAAAAGGGUGGAGGCUCUGUGACAGUAGGAUGAAGAGGGAUGAGAACAAAUAAACUUGUGAGUAGAGCCUCCCAACAGGAUUUUAUCCAAUUAAUAUUUAUGAGCCAGUGGCUGUUCCUCCACAUCAGGUAACCCCGUCAUUGGAGGAGAAAGACUUUACUGCUGGUCCUUCGACAUGGAAAUGUGAAAAGAACACUCGUGUUCCUGCCAACCUCUGAGUGGAGGGACUUGGUUUUAUUUACUGUUCCGUCUCAUGGGCCUAGGACAGUCCCUGACACAUGGAAUCAACUUCUGAAGGUGUUGAAGACCAAACAAUACCAGAUAGAAACUGGAGCAGAAACCAUCCUUGAAAGAAGGUAAGGACACGGGAGGAGAUACAUGUUUAACCAUCUUUCCCCUCAAGGGUACCCAACCCUGCACCCCGAUUAGCAUGAACCUUUGGGCAUAGAGUUUAAGCAGAAAGGGAGUCUUACUAAACUGAGAAGUCAGGUUGGAGUUUGAGUCUGGAAACUUUCCUGAAGAUGAGGGAGACAGAGAAGAAAGCCAUAAAAUAUGCAUACAAGUGGCCUUCAAAUUCUUGGUUGAGUCCUAAAUUGAUGAGCAGAGCAAGAGUCUCGAGCACAGGGGAAAACAAGGGAAAGGUGAAAUCGCUGGCUACAGGUUCCAGCACAUACCUGGUGCUGGAGAGAAGUUUGAAGUUCAAGUUCUGCCCAGUUAGAGGUGUUUGAUAAACACUUAAGCUUUUCUUUGAAACUCAGAAGAAUCAUACUUCAGAAGUAACAGCACGUUCCAGGCCCAUGGAUUAAACCCUAGGACUAAGGGCAAAAUGCAAAACUAAGAUAGACUCACCCUAACAAAACCUAAAGCCUAAAACUAAGCCCCCACGUAAUCAAUGGGGGAAUCUGUUGGGAAUUUAAUUGCCUACUAGAACAAAACCCAACAGUGUUCAGGGGACGGUAACAAUCCAAACUCUGCAAUAUGUCAUACAUAAUGUCCAGUAAGAAAAAGGUAACUAACUAUAUGUGCAAUGAAGUAUGAAAAUGUCCACAAUCGAGAAAAAAGCAAACAACUCAUGUUGAAAUUUGUAAGCAAGGACUUUAAUCGUUGUAAAUAUGUUAAAGAAUUUACAGGAAAAGAUAAAUGAAAUGGGGAAUUUCUGGAGAGAGAUGGAGACUCUGAGAACCAAAUGGAAAUCCUAGAACUGAAAACAAUAUAUUAAAAAAUUCACUAGAAAGGCUUAGCAGCAGGAGAAAGUAUCAGUAAACUAGAAGAUAGACCAAUAGUAAUAUAGAGGUCAAAGCAUGCUACCCCAAAAUAUGAUAUCAUAUUAAAUAUUUCAAGCUGAAGGAAUUUGAGAAACAGCAGGUGCAGGAAGGACUUACAGAGCCUCCCCUGAAGCAAGUCAUAGAACCCUCAUAUGAGAGGUGCCCUCCUUAUACCCGGAGGAAAGGAUCACCCUUAUCUCUCAAGACAGACGGACACCAAGAGGGAAUUUGAAGGAACAGGCCUUGCUGUUUCCCCCGGUUUACUACACUCAAUUCAUACCCUUUUUUGGGGGGUUCUAUCAUAUUUUUCCACAACUCUCCACCCUUCAUCAAAUCUAACAUAAAAAUACUAAGGUUUAACCACUUCUUCAGGUUUUCAUUUCCUUAUGAAGGCUCCCACAUCAUGUAAGACUUAUAUUAAAUAAAUUUGUAUGCUUCUCUCUUU